rnacentral:rRNA from 1 species
CGGGGUGCAGCAGGCGCGAAAACUUUACAAUGCUGGCAACAGCGAUAAGGGGACCUCGAGUGCCAGGAUACAAUCUUGGCUGUCGUGAUGCCUAAAAAGCAUUGCAUAGCAAGGGCCGGGCAAGACCGGUGCCAGCCGCCGCGGUAACACCGGCGGCUCGAGUGGUAACCGCUAUUAUUGGGUCUAAAGGGUCUGUAGCCGGCCGGAUAAGUCUCUUGGGAAAUCCGACAGCUCAACUGUCGGGCUUUCAGGGGAUACUGUUCGGCUCGAGGCCGGGAGAGGUGAGAGGUACUUCAGGGGUAGGGGUGAAAUCUUGUAAUCCUUGAAGGACCACCAGUGGCGAAGGCGUCUCACCAGAACGGUCCUGACGGCAAGGGACGAAAGCUAGGGGCACGAACCGGAUUAGAUACCCGGGUAGUCCUAGCCGUAAACGAUACUCGCUAGGUGUCGGCCACGGUGCGACCGUGGUCGGUGCCGUAGGGAAGCCGUGAAGCGAGCCACCUGGGAAGUACGGCCGCAAGGCUGAAACUUAAAGGAA